GAUGAACGCUGGCGGCGUGCCUAAUACAUGCAAGUCGAGCGCGACUGAUUACACCGUUCUUCGGAACACCGUAAUCAUCGAGCGGCGGACGGGUGAGUAACACGUGGGCAACCUACCCUUAAGACUGGGAUAACCGCGGGAAACCGUGGCUAAUACCGGAUAAUACUUUUAUACAACGGUAUAGAAGUUGAAAGGUGGAUUUCUAUCACUUAAGGAUGGGCCUGCGGCGCAUUAGCUGGUUGGUAAGGUAACGGCUUACCAAGGCGACGAUGCGUAGCCGACCUGAGAGGGUGAUCGGCCACACUGGAACUGAGACACGGUCCAGACUCCUACGGGAGGCAGCAGUAGGGAAUCUUCCGCAAUGGGCGAAAGCCUGACGGAGCAACGCCGCGUGUGCGAAGAAGGUCUUCGGAUCGUAAAGCACUGUUGUUAAGGAAGAACGACAGUAAGAGUAACUGCUUACUGUGUGACGGUACUUAACCAGAAAGCCACGGCUAACUACGUGCCAGCCGCCGCCGUAACAC
rnacentral:rRNA from 1 species